rnacentral:rRNA from 1 species
AAGAUUAAGCCAUGCAUGUCUAAGUAUAAGCACUUGUACUGUGAAACUGCGAAUGGCUCAUUAAAUCAGUUAUCGUUUAUUUGAUUGUACCUUACUACAUGGAUACCUGUGGUAAUUCUAGAGCUAAUACAUGCGAAAAGUCCCAACUUCUGGAAGGGAUGUAUUUAUUAGAUUAAAAACCAAUGCAAGUCUUCGGGCUCGUUUUCUUGGUGAUUCAUGAUAACUUUUCGAAUCGCAUGGCCUAGAGCCGGCGAUACUUCAUUCAAAUUUCUGCCCUAUCAACUGUCGAUGGUAAGGUAGUGGCUUACCAUGGUUAUAACGGGUGACGGAGAAUUAGGGUUCGAUUCCGGAGAGGGAGCCUGAGAAACGGCUACCACAUCUAAGGAAGGCAGCAGGCUCGAAAAUUACCCAAUCCCGACUCGGGGAGGUAGUGACAAGAAAUAACGAUACGGGGUCUUAAUAGGUCUCGCAAUUGGAAUGAGUACAAUUUAAAUCCUUUAACGAGGAUCAAUUGGAGGGCAAGUCUGGUGCCAGCAGCCGCGGUAAUUCCAGCUCCAAUAGCGUAUAUUAAAGUUGUUGCAGUUAAAAAGCUCGUAGUUGGAUUUCGGAGUGGGCCAGUUGGUCCGCCGCAAGGUGUGUUACUGACUGGUUUGCUCUUCUUCGCAAAGACUGCGUGUGCUCUUGAGUGAGUGUGCGUAGAAUUACGACGUUUACUUUGAAAAAAUUAGAGUGUUCAAAGCAGGCUAUUGCUUGAAUACAUGAGCAUGGAAUAAUGGAAUAGGACUUUGGUCCCAUUUUGUUGGUUUCUAGGGCCGAAGUAAUGAUUAAGAGGGACAAUUGGGGGCAUCCGUAUUUCGUUGUCAGAGGUGAAAUUCUUGGAUUUACGAAAGACGAACAACUGCGAAAGCACUUGCCAAGAGUGUUUUCAUUAAUCAGACGAAAGUUAGAGGAUCGAGACGAUCAGAUACCGUCUAGUCUACAUAACGAUGUCGACUAGGGAUCAGCGGGCGUAUCGUACGACCCGU